rnacentral:lncRNA from 1 species
UCAGGAGCAAAUGAAAAACACACAGAGUGACUUAAGCCAAAGGAAGUUAAUGGUACAUCUAUGAGGAGAGGAAGCCUUGCAACUGAUUUUUACUGUGCUCGUCUUUUACUGUAGGAGUCGUGGGCUCAGAGCCAGAUUAGCUGAUUACGGCAAAGGAGCAAAACUUUCGUGGGAACACUGACUACUAAAUUGAAAGAAACUUAUAGAAAUACCUGGGAUCUUGAUGAUGAUGACAACUUGUGAAAGCAGUGAAGUAAGUUCGCUUCAUGGUGAUAGUCAACUUUAUGAUGAUACCAAAAAAGUGAAAUGAAGGGUGGAUUAAAAAAAAGUCUCAUCUAGCAAUUCACUUCACCAUAAGACCGGCACUAAAGACCAAGAACUCUUUCUACAUCCGUCUGUGGUAAAUUAUCUUGGAAUCCUCUUAUGACAGCUUCCUGAUUGUGUGUCCAGAGACCACAAAAAUUUCGGACAGCCUACCAGUAAAGAGGACUACCACUUAUUUUACUGUCUUAAAGGUAUCAGUGGUGCAACCCAUGCUAAGGAUGGGCUUGUAAGAAUAAAAUCCAAAACUUUUUGUGGACUAGCA